rnacentral:rRNA from 1 species
UACGUAGGGUGCGAGCGUUGUCCGGAAUUAUUGGGCGUAAAGAGCUCGUAGGCGGCUUGUCGCGUCGGAUGUGAAAGCCCUGGGCUUAACUCCGGGUCUGCAUUCGAUACGGGCAGGCUAGAGUUCGGUAGGGGAGAUCGGAAUUCCUGGUGUAGCGGUGAAAUGCGCAGAUAUCAGGAGGAACACCGGUGGCGAAGGCGGAUCUCUGGGCCGAUACUGACGCUGAGGAGCGAAAGCGUGGGGAGCGAACAGG